CUAUGUUUAAGUCAAGGAAAUGACAAGCCUGAAUUUAAAAGAAAAAAAAGGCUUUAAUUGUUGAACUUGCAAAAAAACCUUAGACCUCUACAAUUAUUCCAGGAAGAACCAGGGUCCCCCAGCAGUGGAGCUUCCAAAGAGAACAUAGUAGUCAGCAUCCAGCUUGGACAUUCCAAGGAGAGUGACAGACAGGCAGCACUUCCCAGUGUCCAGCAUUAGAUGAAAUCGAGGAACUACCCCUACGGCCAGGAUUUCAGAAUUACUAUGGGCAAGGACUUCUUGUUUUUGGUUCCCUGGACUGAAUGGGAGUUUUAGUUUUUGAUAUCCUGUUUCUACUCCACCAGUGUGUAGGGGGCGGGGUGGGCAGACAACUUGUCUUCUAGUUCACAGGUCACCAGAUCACAGGGAACCAGUCUGGACCCAGUAGCAAGGACUGUACAACAUCCCUGAGAUCCUGGAUUUGAGGUGGUUGUAGCAUCUACAUAGUCUUUUUAGGUUGUCUCACUUGGGAUGAGUGUGUUCUAUAUGAGGGGUAGGGAGUGAAAUGAAUGUUUGGUGAACAGAUGGGUAAAUUGUGGCAGAUGGUAACAAUGCUAUGUGAUCAGCAAACCUGAUUUCCUUUUCUUCCUGGUCAACAGGAAGUGAGCCAAUACUUCCCAGUUUUCUUUGGACUUUGGUGGUGCCCUGGGACUGAGGUCUGGCCAAUAGAAUGUGUGUACAGAGACGGCGCAGAAUUUCCCAGAGGACCUUAGUCAACGCAGAAUUAAAGGGAAAAAUUCCACUUCUGUCAAAGGUGAAACAUCUGAGCUUCCUUACCUGCAGAACCUCCAGAGACAUCAACGUGGUCUGUAGGAGCAACCUCAGCAAAAGAAAAAACAAGAAAGCCUCACCUGAUAGGCUGUCAAUCACAGAAAUAAAAAAGAAAAGAAAGAAGAGAGGCAGCUUUAUUUUAUUUAAAUAGAAUUACUCUUCUUGCUUUCCUAAUAUGACAAUGUGGGUGUACAUUGGGCUGUUUCUCAGUAACAAAACUGGCUACCAUGGCGAUAGAUGCUCUUUCCUUAGUUCUGGGUUUUUAUAAAAUGUUGGUCACUGAAAGCACAAUGUGGUGUGUAAAAUCAACCUCCUUCUGAAAUAGGUUAAAAAUAACUGAGUUGCAAGCUUUGAAAUGCUUAAGAGUGUGCAUUUGAUAAUAGUGGGUUGACUGGUUGUCCCCCCUCCCUAGAUGUGCCCAUGUCCUAAAUCCCAGAACUUGUGAAUGUGUCCUUCUUUGAAAGAAGGGUCUUGGAAGAUAUAAUUAAAUUGAGGAUCUUAAGGUGAGGAGGCUGUCCUGGAUUAUUUGAGUCUGCCCUAAAUUCCAUCACAAAUGUCCUUAAAGGAGACACACAGAGGAAACUCACAGAGGAGGAAGAGGGGAUGCGAUCACAGAGUUAGGGGCAGGAGUGGCGUGGCCACCAGGUUCUGGAAGAAACCAAGAACAGAUUCCCCGAGAGCCCCUGAAGAGGGUGUGGACCUGCCAACACCUGCAUUUAGACUCUGGGCUUCAGAACUGUGAGUUUAUCACUUGCUAUUGUUUUAAGCCCCCAAGUUUGGGGUUAUUUGUUAUGGCUGCCCCAGGAAACAGAUGUAGUAACCCACACAGAUUUUGAAGCCAGGAGAAGCAAAGAAGAAUUUAAUCAUCAACAGCGCAAGCCCACUAAAGAGGACUGUAGUGGUUGGCGUCUGAACUUCACACAUCUUGCAGGAACAGGCUUCCCAUAAAGGUUUAGACGUUGGCGUAACAGACUUCCCACUUGAGGAUGGACUCCAAGGAGAGAACAUUUCUUCAGCACAUCCCAGGAGUCAGACCCCAUGCUGGGUGUUUGGUCUGCAUUUUCUAUGGGAGAUCUCACAUUCAUAUUCACGGCCCGCAUCCACCCACAUUUCAGAUAAAGGCUACUCCAUCAGCCUGAACCCCGAAGUGAAGAUGAGGAGCUCGUAAGGGGCAUGCAGCAGGAGUGAGAACAAAACCACGGAGUUUUAGGCUCGUUUCUCACAGCCACACAGCCUCACCUGUCCAGAAUGACAACCAUGUCUAAUCUACUUAAUGACUUCAUGCAGUGGAUAUCAUCAUAUUCAUUUUACUUAUUUAUUUUUGGGGACAGAAUCUCAUUCUGUCACCCAGGCUAGAAUGCAGUGUGGCUCAAUUAAAGCUCACUGCAGCCUGGUCCUCCCAGGCUCAAGCGAUCCUCCCACCUCAACCCUCUGAGUAGCUGGGACUACAGGUGUGUGUCACCAUGCCCAGCUGAUAUUUGUAUGUUUUGUAGAGAUGAGGGUUUCACCAUGUUGCUCAGGCUGGUUGAGCUCCUGAGCUCAAGCAAUCUGCCUGUCUUGGCCUCUCAAAAUGCUAGGAUUACAGGUGUGCAUAUUCAUUUUAGAAAUAAAAAAACUGAGACUCAGAGAAAUUCAUUACAUUGCUCAAAGAUACAACUAAUAAAAGGCAGAACUGGAUCUGACAUCUUAAACCUUUUGAGUUGAGGUGAUAUGCAAAAACAUGUAAAUUUAGGAACAUUAAUAUAUAUGAAAUGUAGAAUAACUUGAAAGAAAGAAGGUGGGAAGACAAGGUCAGCAGUUAUGAAGUGGAAAGAAUUCACAGAAGCACUAGCCAUAUUCAUCCAGGCUGGCUGCCACAAGGAAUCAUAAAGAGCCAUGGCAAGAGAGGAUGAGGCCUAGACUUGAGCCAGGCCGAAGCACAAAACACAGGAAGAGAGGAAUAAAUGCUGGGAAUCCACGCAGGAACAUGUCAGAGGGUUCAGGAGUCAGACGGCCCUGCAUUCAAGUCCUGCUUGCUAAGCUUUAGGUUCUCCCUGGGAGAUGGAGUAAUCACAGUGCAUUUCUCCCCAGGUUGCUGGGUAGAUUAAAGGAGAUGAGGUAGCCUUGGCCCAAGGAAAACCUCAAUGAGUAAUAGUUGUGGUGGUUGUUAUUUCUAAAUUUAUUUCAGGUAUAUGUCUAUGCUUUGAUCCUGGAGAGUGAAUUCAAAAUUCCAGGUGAUGACUUCAUCCAAAAAUUGUGAGGUCUUAGGAGAUGUCAACGUUUCACAGAGCAAUCUCUUUAUAGGUAGUUUUAACAGAGCAUUAAGAAAAUGCUCUUUCCUCUAUAAUCCAUGUCCUUUGAAAGAGAGAUUCUUUAGGGAGUUAAAAAUCUCACUGUAGUCAAACUUCAUGGAGAAAGAAGGUAGGCAGAAAAGAAAAUCAAAGUCAAGAGAGU
rnacentral:lncRNA from 1 species